UCUCGGUCUGGCGGAAUGGCAGACGCGGCAAGUUGCCAACUUGCUGGGAGUAAACUCCCGUGGGGGUUCGAUUCCCCUCGCCGCCAC
rnacentral:tRNA from 1 species